AUGCUUGUGUCUCCACAGGAGAUGGCGCACGAUGGCUCCCGGCCAGGCUGGUUCGCCCCGCAGUGGAUCCUGACCCUCGUGAUGCUGACGACACCACUCGAGAGCAUGAGCAGUCCRAACCACGCACCCCAUCAACUGACGACCAGGAAGAGUGGAAACGUCUGGGGUACCACACAGACACUUGUGUUCCUAAUUCAGGCGGCCCCGGUGACAACAUUGAUCUCAAACCCAUGGGACAGCAAUGUCAAUAUUUGGGARAAGUUAGCUAGGGAAAUACUAAAUCCCACUCAUUUUUGUCUAGAAGGAGGAAUUUYGGCGAGCCAAAUUUACACCACUUGCACUAUUGGUUUUCCUAUACCCCUGGAGACAAUGCGAARCAAAUCAAUAUUGGCAAAUUUCGACGUCGUCAAUACGUUUGGUCAGAUGUCUCRAUGGGGUUCUGUCACAACACYGUAUGAUGAAACACUGAUAGAACUUAAGGUGAAAGGAAUGUUUCCCGCGGUUGAGUGUGCUGUGAUGGUAAACUGUACCAGCAAAACUCGAGCAUGCCRUAACUUUACRAAAGAUGGGCCUUCUCUUAAAUGUAAUCACACAACCAAUGUAACCUUUAACUAUGCACAUAUUGUGCUCCCUACAGGAAUAUUUUGGCUAUGCGGGGUAAAAGCUUACUCCUACAUUCCAGCCAAUGCUACUGGCGGCCCCUGUACUCUCGGUCGCUUGAGCCUCUGUAUGCCAAGCAAACGAGAGCUGGAGGAUAUGACUAGAGAUCAAACACGAAAUAGGAGGGAGGUCUCAUCCCUCGACCCUGAAUGCAAUUCAGAAGYGAUCUUAUUCUCAGCAUCACAAAUCUCAGCCGCAGCAYUCCUUACACCUGGGGUGGGAGUUGCUAUGAACUACCAAACUUUAAAAAGAAUCGCAUGUUCUUUAGCUAAGACUAUCAAUGCUACUUCUGUUGCYCUAUCAGCAAUGCUUAAAGAUAUGCAAGCCCUGCGUGCUGGCGUGUUGGAAAACAGAGCAGCAAUUGAUUACCUUCUUUUACGACACAACCACGGAUGUGAAGAGUUCAAAGGCAUGUGUUGCUUCAACCUGAGCAACCGUUCGACCCUGAUUGAAGGAAAGAUCAACAACCUCAAACACCYAGCCUUAGACAUUAAAAAGCAAAACGACGAUUGGUUACAAAACCUGUUCCAAGGAUGGGGUUUGUCRGGAUGGUUGCUAUCACUGGUAAAGGGAGGGCUACUGGUGUUGGGAAUACUAAUAUGCCUUUUGUUGAUAUUACCACGUUUAGUGACGUACCUGCAAGGUGCCAUGCAAAAGACAAUCCAGCACAUAAUGUUUGUAGACAAACAAACGGGGUUUGAUAUUGAUGAAGUAAGCCUAUGGCCAUCCUAUGGCCUUGAAUAA
rnacentral:lncRNA from 1 species